UAACGGGGAAUCAGGGUUCGAUUCCGGAGAGGGAGCCCGAGAAACGGCUACCACUUCCAAGGAAGGCAGCAGGCGCGCAACUUACCCUAAUCUCGAUUCGAGGAGGUAGUGACAAGAAAUACCGAUGCGGGACCCUACGGGUGCCGCGUUCGGAAUGAGUACGAUUCGAACCACCUAACGAGGAACGAUCGGAGGGCAAGUCUGGUGCCAGCAGCCGCGGUAAUUCCAGCUCCAAUAGCGUACGUUAAAGUUGCUGCAGUUAAAAAGCUCGUAGUUGAACGUUCGGGUUCCGCGGGACGGGGCCGCCCCGCGAGGGACGGCGCCGCCCCGGGGCUCGUGAUAUCUCAUCUCGCCGCCCGUCGCGAGGCGGACGGAGGGAUGGAUGAGGUUACCUGGAAAAAAAUCGGGGCGAUCUAGGCGGGCGAACCUCGCCAACGAACGAUCGGACAUG
rnacentral:rRNA from 1 species